rnacentral:rRNA from 1 species
UUUCGAAUCAUUCACAAUGGGCGAAAGCCUGAUGGUGCGACGCCGCGUGAGGGAUGAAGGUCUUCGGAUUGUAAACCUCUGUCACCGGGGAAGAAACGUUUCAUUUUAAUAGAAUGAAACCUGACUUAACCCGGAGAGGAAGCAGUGGCUAACUCUGUGCCAGCAGCCGCGGUAAUACAGAGACUGCAAGCGUUAUUCGGAUUCACUGGGCGUAAAGGGUGCGCAGGCGGCCAAGUGUGUCAGGUGUGAAAUCCCGAGGCUUAACCUCGGAACUGCGCCUGAAACUACUUGGCUAGAGUACUGGAGAGGGUAACGGAAUUCACGGUGUAGCAGUGAAAUGCGUAGAUAUCGUGAGGAACACCAGAGGCGAAGGCGGUUACCUGGACAGUUACUGACGCUCAGGCACGAAAGCGUGGGGAGCAAAAGG